GUGCGUGCCGCCGUUGAUCCGGUGCUGCAGUGAGGAGGUGGUUCUCGCCCGUGUUGUGUGUGUGUGUGUGUGUGUGAGUGAGAGAGCGAGUGAGUGAGUGAGUGAGUGUGUGUGUGGGGGGACUCGGCUUGUUGUUGUCGGUGACUUCCCCCUCCCCUCCACCCCUCCCCCUUCCCCGCCGCCGCUGCAGUGGCCGCUCCCUGGGCCGUAGGAAAUGAGCGAUAACGAUGACAUCGAGGUGGAGAGCGACGAAGAGCAACCGAGGUUUCAAUCUGCGGCUGACAAACGGGCUCAUCAUAAUGCACUGGAACGAAAACGUAGGGACCACAUCAAAGACAGCUUUCACAGUUUGCGGGACUCGGUCCCAUCACUCCAAGGAGAGAAGGCAUCCCGGGCCCAAAUCCUAGACAAAGCCACAGAGUAUAUCCAGUAUAUGCGAAGGAAAAACCACACACACCAGCAAGAUAUUGAUGACCUCAAGCGGCAGAAUGCUCUUCUGGAGCAGCAAGGGGAAAGCGAGAGCUGAUCAAGUUCUUUGUUCCUGGGGAAUUCACUUCUCUUCCUCCCUCAUGGAAGAUGCAAGUAAAAGGAAAUUCCGUGCACUGGAGAAGGCGAGGUCGAGUGCCCAACUGCAGACCAACUACCCCUCCUCAGACAACAGCCUCUACACCAACGCCAAGGGCAGCACCAUCUCUGCCUUCGAUGGGGGCUCAGACUCCAGCUCGGAGUCGGAGCCCGAAGAGCCCCAAAGCAGGAAGAAGCUCCGGAUGGAGGCCAGCUAAGCUCCACGGGGCAGGCCAGCAAUAAAAACUGUCUGUCUCCUCCAUCGUCUUAUCCUCCUUUCAGUUCAUCUUUAAAACCCUCAGAACCAUUUAAGAGACUCUUUAUUUUUUUCUCCUUCUUUUUUUUUUAUUUUAUUUUUUUUUAAUUUUAUUUUUACGUAGAAGCUCUUGGACAACAGCUCUCGUUCUCCUUCCCCAUUUCCACUAUUUUUUUUUUUUUAACGUUUCCCUUCAGGGAUUCCCUGUCCCCACCAGGAAUAUUCAAACCAAAACACCCCAACUUGGCAGCUUUUUCUGUGGAGGACAGACGGCCGGCCAGACCUCUGAGCACAUGGUGUCCUGACCACCCACCAGCUCCUCCAGCCCUGCCGGGCGCAUGUGCCCGGGGGACUCCUGCCCCUCCCAGGCCUCUCCUCCCGGGCCACCCUCACCGCUGUUUGAUAGACUUUGUGAAUCUGUGGACUGCUCUACUUUAAGAAGAUGACCAGUUUGGAGUAAUCAGAAUUAUUCCCCCUUCUUUUUAAGGAUUUUUUUUUUCCCCUAAAAGGCUAUUUAUCGCUCGUGUUGAAAGACCAGAUCCUUGAAGAAGUUUGUGGUAUAAAAGGAAGUGGGGACAGAUUUGCAGCGCAGAGUCUUUGGCCUGUUUCACUCCUGCUUCUCUCAGCCAGCCUUAGGGAGGGCCGCGUGACACUCGUGUGGUUUGUGGGGGGCAGCAGCAGUGAAGCGGUAGCCGCCAGGGGGUGGGAGGGGGCGGGACAAGGAGGGAGGGUCGGGUGGGGUAGAGGUUUUGUAUUGAGGGCCAGUGAUGUUUUGAUAUUUAUUUCCUGCUACUGAAAUUUGAAUCUGAGUGAAUUGUCCCUAUUUCUGAUGAUGUCGGUAUUGCAAAACGACAGAUUCAUAAAGUAAUGAUCAAAUCUUC